CUACAAUAAAGUGGCCAUUCUCUCUGCUUAUCGUGUGAGUUGACUGGGCUCAGCUGGGCAGCUCUUCAGCCAGGCCAACGGACAAGUGCAGAAACAAGCGCUCAGGAAUAACAAUCAACUCCUGAGAUAUCACAGCAGCUCGCAAGAGGCAAAGCCGUCGUGGAAAAUCAGGCCCCGGGUGACUCUACUGCUCGGCUAGCCGCAUGCAUGCUCAAGCCAACGAUUCUGGGAGCAGUACCGGCAAGUGAAACUGAUUAAAGGAACCCUUCAAAUUUGCUUUCUCAUGCGACGCAGCCGGGUAGGAGGAGAACGUCUGAUGCUCUGCACAUCAGCACAAGGGUUUACUCAGCGAAUGCCCAGAUCUUAAGGAGGGAGAACACCGUUUUUCCUGAGAUAUGUGCUGUAUCUUCCAUGAGGGCCAAGACUUUUGAUUGUGACCUCAUCUUUCAUCUUCUUGCUUUCUGCCCAAACCCAGCCAUUCUGGUGUGCAUUCCACACUGCUGCAUGCAGCCUUAUGUUGACCUCAGCCCUUUGUGUUCAUUGUUUACUCUGUGAAGAAUCUCCAGGUAGCUGGACAGUUGUCUCCUUUACUUUCUCCCGAUAUCUGUGCCAUUGUCAUCUUCUCUACUUAUUGCAUACAGAAUAUCUUCCCAAGCCUCUUAACUGGCUUUAUUUUCCUUUUAGUGUGUGUUAACUGAGAUGUGUGUCUAUAAAUUUGUCUGUACCCCUCCUUCUACUUGAUUUUGUUCCUGGUUAUCUCCAAGCCCCUAAAGAAAUUUCAUAUUUUCUGAAAUACUUUUUAAACCAUACUAUAUAAAUGAAAAACAGAGUUGAUGUAUUCGUCAGCCAAGUGUGAGUAUGGUACAGUAACAAAUAGCCCCCAAAUAUAUAUCAGUUUUCUUUCUCUCCUGUGUUCUAAAACUAAUGUGGACUGUCAAGAGGUUAUGUUCAAGGACCUUGUUGACAGUUGAGACUUUACCUGUCGUGCUAUAUCACAAACACAGGCUCUGAGGUCUACUAUGACAAAAGAAGAGAGUGUGGGCAGAGACUCUUAUAUUAUUUUGUCCAUCAGUCACACUUUACCAUCUUUAUUCAUA